AGUUGGUGAGGUAACGGCUCACCAAGGCAACGAUGCGUAGCCGACGUGAGAGGGUGAUCGGCCACACUGGGACUGAGACACGGCCCAGACUCUACGGGAGGCAGCAGUAGGGAAUCUUCCGCAAUGGACGAAAGUCUGACGGAGCAACGCCGCGUGAGUGAUGAAGGUUUUCGGAUCGUAAAGCUCUGUUGUUAGGGAAGAACAAGUGCCGUUCAAAUAGGGCGGCACCUUGACGGUACCUAACCAGAAAGCCACGGCUAACUACGUGCCAGCAGCCGCGGUAAUACGUAGGUGGCAAGCGUUGUCCGGAAUUAUUGGGCGUAAAGGGCUCGCAGGCGGUUUCUUAAGUCUGAUGUGAAAGCCCCCGGCUCAACCGGGGAGGGUCAUUGGAAACUGGGGAACUUGAGUGCAGAAGAGGAGAGUGGAAUUCCACGUGUAGCGGUGAAAUGCGUAGAGAUGUGGAGGAACACCAGUGGCGAAGGCGACUCUCUGGUCUGUAACUGACGCUGAGGAGCGAAAGCGUGGGGAGCGAACAGGAUUAGAUACCCUGGUAGUCCACGCCGUAAACGAUGAGUGCUAAGUGUUAGGGGGUUUCCGCCCCUUAGUGCUGCAGCUAACGCAUUAAGCACUCCGCCUGGGGAGUACGGUCGCAAGACUGAAACUCAAAGGAAUUGACGGGGGCCCGCACAAGCGGUGGAGCAUGUGGUUUAAUUCGAAGCAACGCGAAAAACCUUACCAGGUCUUGACAUCCUCUGACAAUCCUAAAGAUAGGACGUCCCCUUCGGGGGCAGAGUGACAGGUGGUGCAUGGUUGUCGUCAGCUCGUGUCGUGAGAUGUUGGGUUAAGUCCCGCAACGAGCGCAACCCUUGAUCUUAGUUGCCAGCAUUCAGUUGGGCACUCUAAGGUGACUGCCGGUGACAAACCGGAGGAAGGUGGGGAUGACGUCAAAUCAUCAUGCCCCUUAUGACCUGGGCUACACACGUGCUACAAUGGACAGAACAAAGGGCAGCGAAACCGCGAGGUUAAGCCAAUCCCACAAAUCUGUUCUCAGUUCGGAUCGCAGUCUGCAACUCGACUGCGUGAAGCUGGAAUCGCUAGUAAUCGCGGAUCAGCAUGCCGCGGUGAAUACAAUCCCGGGCCUUGUACACACCGCCCGUCACACCACGAGAGUUUGUAACACCCGAAGUCUGUGAGGUAAC
rnacentral:rRNA from 1 species